rnacentral:rRNA from 1 species
UACGUAGGGGGCAAGCGUUGUCCGGAAUCAUUGGGCGUAAAGCGCGUGUAGGCGGCCAGAAAAGUCCGCUGUGAAAACUCGAGGCUCAACUUCGAGCUGUCGGUGGAAACUUUCUGGCUAGAGUCCGGAAGAGGAGAAUGGAAUUCCUGGUGUAGCGGUGAAAUGCGCAGAUAUCAGGAAGAACACCCGUGGCGAAGGCGGUUCUCUGGGACGGUACUGACGCUGAGGCACGAAAGCGUGGGGAGCAAACAGG